rnacentral:rRNA from 1 species
GCUAAUACCGGAUAAUAUAUUGAACCGCAUGGUUCAAUAGUGAAAGACGGUUUUGUCUGUCACUUAUAGAUGGAUCAGCGCCGCAUUAGCUAGUUGGUAAGGUAACGGCUUACCAAGGCAACGAUGCGUAGCCGACCUGAGAGGGUGAUCGGCCACACUGGAACUGAGACACGGUCAG